UUUAUAAUGCCAUUUCAACCAUCAGAAAGGAUGCUAGCAAAUGUGUUAAAAUCACAGUGUUUACACAGAGUUGUAUGAUGUGGAAUAUAGACGAGGUACAGGACAGUAGUUACUAUGACAGCAGGUGUUAAGAGGUACAGGACAGUAGAUACUAUGACAGCAGUUGUUAUGAAGUACGGGACAGUAGAUACUAUGACAGCAGGUGUGAAGAGGUACAGGACAGUAGAUACUAUGACAGCAGGUGUUAUGAGGUACAGGACAGUAGAUACUAUGACAGCAGGUGUUAUGAGGUACAGGACAGUAGAUACUAUGACAGCAGGUGUUAAGAGGUACAGGACAGUAGAUACUAUGACAGCAGGUGUAAUGAGGUACAGGACAGUAGAUACUAUGACAGCAGGUCUAAUGAGGUACAGGACAGUAGAUACUAUGACAGCAGGUGAGGUACAGGACAGUAGAUACUAUGACAGCAGGUGUUAUGAGGUACAGGACAGUAGAUACUAUGACAGCAGGUGUAAUGAGGUACAGGACAGUAGAUACUAUGACAGCAGGUGAGGUACAGGACAGUAGAUACUAUGACAGCAGGUGUUAAGAGGUACAGGACAGUAGAUACUAUGACAGCAGGUGUUAAGAGGUACAGGACAGUAGAUACUAUGACAGCAGGUGAGGUACAGGACAGUAGAUACUAUGACAGCAGGUGUUAAGAGGUACAGGACAGUAGAUACUAUGACAGCAGGUGUAAUGAGGUACAGGACAGUAGAUACUAUGACAGCAGGUGAGGUACAGGACAGUAGAUACUAUGACAGCAGGUGUUAAGAGGUACAGGACAGUAGAUACUAUGACAGCAGGUGUAAUGAGGUACAGGACAGUAGAUACUAUGACAGCAGGUGUAAAGAGGUACAGGACAGUAGAUACUAUGACAGCAGGUGUUAAGAGGUACAGGACAGUAGAUACUAUGACAGCAG